rnacentral:rRNA from 1 species
UACGUAGGGUGCAGGCGUUAAUCGGAAUUACUGGGCGUAAAGCGUGCGCAGGCGGUCUUUUAAGUCAGAUGUGAAAUCCCCGGGCUUAACCUGGGAACUGCGUUUGAAACUGGAAGGCUAGAGUGUGGCAGAGGGGGGUGGAAUUCCACGUGUAGCAGUGAAAUGCGUAGAUAUCUGGAGGAACACCGGUGGCGAAGGCGGCAUCCUGGACCGACACUGACGCUGAGGCGCGAAAGCUAGGGUAGCAAACGGG